CUACGUGCCAGCAGCCGCGGUAAUACGUAGGUGGCAAGCGUUGUCCGGAAUUAUUGGGCGUAAAGCGCGCGCAGGCGGAUUGGUCAGUCUGUCUUAAAAGUUCGGGGCUUAACCCCGUGAUGGGAUGGAAACUGCCAAUCUAGAGUAUCGGAGAGGAAAGUGGAAUUCCUAGUGUAGCGGUGAAAUGCGUAGAUAUUAGGAAGAACACCAGUGGCGAAGGCGACUUUCUGGACGAAAACUGACGCUGAGGCGCGAAAGCCAGGGGAGCGAACGGGAUUAGAUACCCCGGUAGUCCUGGCCGUAAACGAUGGGUACUAGGUGUAGGAGGUAUUGACCCCUUCUGUGCCGGAGUUAACGCAAUAAGUACCCCGCCUGGGGAGUACGACCGCAAGGUUGAAACUCAAAGGAAUUGACGGGGGCCCGCACAAGCGGUGGAGUAUGUGGUUUAAUUCGACGCAACGCGAAGAACCUUACCAGGUCUUGACAUUGAUGGACAGAACUAGAGAUAG
rnacentral:rRNA from 1 species